UACGAAGGGGGCUAGCGUUGCUCGGAUUGACUGGGCGUAAAGGGCGCGUAGGCGGUUCGUACAGUCAGACGUGAAAUUCCUGGGCUCAACCUGGGGGCUGCGUUUGAUACGUGCGGACUUGAGUGCGGAAGAGGGUAGUGGAAUUCCCAGUGUAGAGGUGAAAUUCGUAGAUAUUGGGAAGAACACCAGUGGCGAAGGCGGCUCACUGGCCCGUAACUGACGCUGAGGUGCGAAAGCGUGGGGAGCAAACAGG
rnacentral:rRNA from 1 species